rnacentral:rRNA from 1 species
GUGAGGAAUAUUGGUCAAUGGGCGCGAGCCUGAACCAGCCAAGUAGCGUGAGGGAUAACUGCCCUAUGGGUUGUAAACCUCUUUUGCAGGGGGGUAAAGUGGUUCACGUGUGGACCAUUGCAAGUACCCUGCGAAUAAGGAUCGGCUAACUCCGUGCCAGCAGCCGCGGUAAUACGGAGGAUCCGAGCGUUAUCCGGAUUUAUUGGGUUUAAAGGGAGCGUAGGCGGGGGUUUAAGUCAGCUGUGAAAUGCCGUGGCCCAACCAUGGAACUGCAGUUGAAACUGGACCUCUUGAGAGUACAUAAGGAAGGCGGAAUUCGUGGUGUAGCGGUGAAAUGCAUAGAUAUCACGAAGAACUCCGAUUGCGAAGGCAGCUUUCCGGGGUACAUCUGACGCUGAAGCUCGAAAGUGCGGGAAUCAAACAGGAUUAGAUACCCUUGUAGUCC